rnacentral:rRNA from 1 species
AUUAAAGAAUUAUUUUGUUGUUGUAUUUGUUUUUGAUUUAAUUUUUUUACUAUAGGUUAUUUGUACCGUGAGGGGUUGGGUGUGUUUAGUGUUUUUGGAAGUUGAUUUGGUUUGUCGUACCUUGUGUAUCAGGGUUCAUUAAAUUUUAUUAUUUAUUUUUUAUUUCCCGAUUUUAAAGGAGUUAAUGGCUUAUGUUGGUUACUGUUUCAUUAGUAUUAAUAAUAGGUUGUUGGUAGUGAAAUGUUAUUCGUCUUUGGUGGUCUCUGGUUUUUCAAGAAAUGAAUUUAAUUCAUAUGUCUUAUUUAAUUUCUGUUGUUUAUUUAUUAUUUUUUAUUUGACAUUAAGAUUAGGGGGGAUUAGCUCCUUGUUUUAUCUUUAUAAUUCGUUGUGUUUAAUUUAGUUUUGUGGAUUUUAUAUUGAUUUUCUAUUUGAUUAUGUUAAAAUUUUAUUUAUUUUAUUUUUUAUUUUGUUUUAUUUAAGUUGUUUAUUGAAAUGUUUUCAUUAUUUUUGGUUUGUAUAGCAAUUAUUAUGUAAUUAGUAAAUCUUGUUUUUAUUUUGUUUUAUAGGUGUUUAAUUGUUUUUGAGGAAUUCGGCAAAUUUUUAUGUCCGCCUGUUUAACAAAAACAUCUUUUCUUGUUAGUUUUUGAAGUAUGGCCUGCCCGCUGACUUUUAGUUGAAGGGCCGCGGUAUUUUGACCGUGCAAAGGUAGCAUAAUCAUUAGUUCUUUAAUUGUGAUCUGGUAUGAAUGGUUUAACGAGACAUAAGCUGUCUUAGGGGUAUUGUUAAUUGAAUUUAGUUUUUGAGUUAAAAUUCUUAGAUGUUUUUAUGGGACGAGAAGACCCUAUAGAGUUUGAUAUUCAUUCUUUUUAUGUUGUUGUUUGUUUGUUUUAUUAAGUGGUGUUGAUUAUUUUGUUGGGGUGAUGGGAGGAAUAAAAUUAACUCCUCUUUUUUUGUUAUGUUUAUUUAUAAAAAUUUGAUCCAUUUGUUUUGAUUAUAAGAUUAAAUUACCUUAGGGAUAACAGCGUUAUCUUCCUUGAGAGUUCUUAUUGGCGGGAAGGUUUGCGACCUCGAUGUUGGAUUAAGGUGAAUUUCCGGUGCAGGAGCUGGGGGUGAUUAGGUCUGUUCGACCUUUAAAAUCUUACAUGAUCUGAGUUCAGACCGGCGUGAGCCAGGUUGGUUUCUAUCUAUGAAUGUGGUUUUAUGCCUUAGUACGAGAGGACCGGGCAUUUGGAAUUAAUUCCAGUUUUACAUUGAUUUUUAUUAAUGUGUU